rnacentral:rRNA from 1 species
UACGUAGGGUGCGAGCGUUGUCCGGAAUUAUUGGGCGUAAAGAGCUUGUAGGCGGUUUGUCGCGUCUGCUGUGAAAAUCCGGGGCUCAACCCCGGACUUGCAGUGGGUACGGGCAGACUAGAGUGUGGUAGGGGAGACUGGAAUUCCUGGUGUAGCGGUGAAAUGCGUAGAUAUCAGGAGGAACACCGGUGGCGAAGGCGCUCAUCUGGCCCAAUACUGACGCUGAGGCGCGAAAGCUAGGGGAGCAAACGGG